GAUGUAAUUUUCCUGGAAGUGACCUAAUUUUGGGGGCUAAGCAACAGCUCAAGCAUCAGCGAGUGUUAGAUUUAAUGAAUUCUGUGUGUUAAAGAUGGGAAGCAUAUAUUAAAAUAAAUAAUUUCACCAUUUUGCUUUUGUAAAAUCACUUAACAAAAGAGCCUUUAUGACAUCAUCUUCCAGGAAAUGACCUCAUUUUGGUGGCAAAGCAACAGCACAAGCAUCAAUAAGUAGCAAAGAAUUUAAUUAUUUCUGUACAUUGAAGAUGGAAUCGUAUUUUGACCAAUCGUAUCAUAUUAAUUGUAUUUUAAAUGGUAUUUCACUAUUUUGGUUUCAAGUUGUUUAUUCUUUUGUAAAAUCACUUAACUACCAAGGGCCUUUAUGACAUCAUCUUCCAGGAAGUGAAAAAAUCAACAACACAAGAAUCAGAAGUGACAUCAUUUUGGUGACAAAUCAACCACACAACAAGAAUCAGAAGUGACAUCAUUUUGGUGGCAAAUCAACACCUCAAG